rnacentral:tRNA from 1 species
GGUUCAGUAGCUCAGUGGGUAGAGCAAAGGACUAAAAAUCUUUGUGUCGGCGGUUCGAUUCCGUCCUGACCCA